rnacentral:rRNA from 1 species
UACGGGAGGCAGCAGUGGGGAAUAUUGCACAAUGGGCGCAAGCCUGAUGCAGCCAUGCCGCGUGUAUGAAGAAGGCCUUCGGGUUGUAAAGUACUUUCAGCGAGGAGGAAGGCGUUGUGGUUAAUAACCGCAACGAUUGACGUUACUCGCAGAAGAAGCACCGGCUAACUCCGUGCCAGCAGCCGCGGUAAUACGGAGGGUGCAAGCGUUAAUCGGAAUUACUGGGCGUAAAGCGCACGCAGGCGGUCUGUCAAGUCGGAUGUGAAAUCCCCGGGCUCAACCUGGGAACUGCAUCCGAAACUGGCAGGCUAGAGUCUUGUAGAGGGGGUAGAAUUCCAGGUGUAGCGGUGAAAUGCGUAGAGAUCUGGAGGAAUACCGGUGGCGAAGGGCGGGCCCCUGGGACAAAGACUGACGCUCAGGUGCGAAAGCGUGGGGAGCGAAACAGGGAUUAGAAUACC